rnacentral:rRNA from 1 species
UGAACGCUGGCGGCGUGCCUAAUACAUGCAAGUCGAGCGAACGGACGAGAAGCUUGCUUCUCUGCUGUUAGCGGCGGACGGGUGAGUAACACGUGGAUAGCCUACCUAUAAGACUGGGAUAACUUCGGGAAACCGGAGCUAAUACCGGAUAAUAUUUUGAACCGCAUGGUUCAAAAGUGAAAGACGGUCUUGCUGUCACUUAUAGAUGGAUCCGCGCUGCAUUAGCUAGUUGGUAAGGUAACGGCUUACCAAGGCAACGAUGCAUAGCCGACCUGAGAGGGUGAUCGGCCACACUGGAACUGAGACACGGUCCAGACUCCUACGGGAGGCAGCAGUAGGGAAUCUUCCGCAAUGGGCGAAAGCCUGACGGAGCAACGCCGCGUGAGUGAUGAAGGUCUUCGGAUCGUAAAACUCUGUUAUUAGGGGAGAACAUAUGUGUAAGUAACUGUGCACAUCUUGACGGUACCUAAUCAGAAAGCCACGGCUAACUACGUG